rnacentral:rRNA from 1 species
UCCGCAGGCGGGCGUAUAAGUCAGUGGUGAAAGCCUACAGCUUAACUGUAGAACUGCCAUUGAUACUGUACGUCUUGAAUUCGGUCGAAGUGGGCGGAAUGUGUAGUGUAGCGGUGAAAUGCUUAGAUAUUACACAGAACACCGAUAGCGAAGGCAGCUCACUAGGCCUGAAUUGACGCUCAUGGACGAAAGCGUGGGGAGCAAACA